UUAAGCGACUAAGCGUACACGGUGGAUGCCCUGGCAGUCAGAGGCGAUGAAGGACGUGCUAAUCUGCGAUAAGCGUCGGUAAGGUGAUAUGAACCGUUAUAACCGGCGAUUUCCGAAUGGGGAAACCCAGUGUGUUUCGACACACUAUCAUUAACUGAAUCCAUAGGUUAAUGAGGCGAACCGGGGGAACUGAAACAUCUAAGUACCCCGAGGAAAAGAAAUCAACCGAGAUUCCCCCAGUAGCGGCGAGCGAACGGGGAGCAGCCCAGAGCCUGAAUCAGUGUGUGUGUUAGUGGAAGCGUCUGGAAAGGCGCGCGAUACAGGGUGACAGCCCCGUACACAAAAAUGCACAUGCUGUGAGCUCGAUGAGUAGGGCGGGACACGUGGUAUCCUGUCUGAAUAUGGGGGGACCAUCCUCCAAGGCUAAAUACUCCUGACUGACCGAUAGUGAACCAGUACCGUGAGGGAAAGGCGAAAAGAACCCCGGCGAGGGGAGUGAAAAAGAACCUGAAACCGUGUACGUACAAGCAGUGGGAGCACGCUUAGGCGUGUGACUGCGUACCUUUUGUAUAAUGGGUCAGCGACUUAUAUUCUGUAGCAAGGUUAACCGAAUAGGGGAGCCGAAGGGAAACCGAGUCUUAACUGGGCGUUAAGUUGCAGGGUAUAGACCCGAAACCCGGUGAUCUAGCCAUGGGCAGGUUGAAGGUUGGGUAACACUAACUGGAGGACCGAACCGACUAAUGUUGAAAAAUUAGCGGAUGACUUGUGGCUGGGGGUGAAAGGCCAAUCAAACCGGGAGAUAGCUGGUUCUCCCCGAAAGCUAUUUAGGUAGCGCCUCGUGAAUUCAUCUCCGGGGGUAGAGCACUGUUUCGGCAAGGGGGUCAUCCCGACUUACCAACCCGAUGCAAACUGCGAAUACCGGAGAAUGUUAUCACGGGAGACACACGGCGGGUGCUAACGUCCGUCGUGAAGAGGGAAACAACCCAGACCGCCAGCUAAGGUCCCAAAGUCAUGGUUAAGUGGGAAACGAUGUGGGAAGGCCCAGACAGCCAGGAUGUUGGCUUAGAAGCAGCCAUCAUUUAAAGAAAGCGUAAUAGCUCACUGGUCGAGUCGGCCUGCGCGGAAGAUGUAACGGGGCUAAACCAUGCACCGAAGCUGCGGCAGCGACGCUUAUGCGUUGUUGGGUAGGGGAGCGUUCUGUAAGCCUGUGAAGGUGUGCUGUGAGGCAUGCUGGAGGUAUCAGAAGUGCGAAUGCUGACAUAAGUAACGAUAAAGCGGGUGAAAAGCCCGCUCGCCGGAAGACCAAGGGUUCCUGUCCAACGUUAAUCGGGGCAGGGUGAGUCGACCCCUAAGGCGAGGCCGAAAGGCGUAGUCGAUGGGAAACAGGUUAAUAUUCCUGUACUUGGUGUUACUGCGAAGGGGGGACGGAGAAGGCUAUGUUGGCCGGGCGACGGUUGUCCCGGUUUAAGCGUGUAGGCUGGUUUUCCAGGCAAAUCCGGAAAAUCAAGGCUGAGGCGUGAUGACGAGGCACUACGGUGCUGAAGCAACAAAUGCCCUGCUUCCAGGAAAAGCCUCUAAGCAUCAGGUAACAUCAAAUCGUACCCCAAACCGACACAGGUGGUCAGGUAGAGAAUACCAAGGCGCUUGAGAGAACUCGGGUGAAGGAACUAGGCAAAAUGGUGCCGUAACUUCGGGAGAAGGCACGCUGAUAUGUAGGUGAAGUCCCUCGCGGAUGGAGCUGAAAUCAGUCGAAGAUACCAGCUGGCUGCAACUGUUUAUUAAAAACACAGCACUGUGCAAACACGAAAGUGGACGUAUACGGUGUGACGCCUGCCCGGUGCCGGAAGGUUAAUUGAUGGGGUUAGCCGCAAGGCGAAGCUCUUGAUCGAAGCCCCGGUAAACGGCGGCCGUAACUAUAACGGUCCUAAGGUAGCGAAAUUCCUUGUCGGGUAAGUUCCGACCUGCACGAAUGGCGUAAUGAUGGCCAGGCUGUCUCCACCCGAGACUCAGUGAAAUUGAACUCGCUGUGAAGAUGCAGUGUACCCGCGGCAAGACGGAAAGACCCCGUGAACCUUUACUAUAGCUUGACACUGAACAUUGAGCCUUGAUGUGUAGGAUAGGUGGGAGGCUUAGAAGUGUGGACGCCAGUCUGCAUGGAGCCGACCUUGAAAUACCACCCUUUAAUGUUUGAUGUUCUAACGUUGACCCGUAAUCCGGGUUGCGGACAGUGUCUGGUGGGUAGUUUGACUGGGGCGGUCUCCUCCUAAAGAGUAACGGAGGAGCACGAAGGUUGGCUAAUCCUGGUCGGACAUCAGGAGGUUAGUGCAAUGGCAUAAGCCAGCUUGACUGCGAGCGUGACGGCGCGAGCAGGUGCGAAAGCAGGUCAUAGUGAUCCGGUGGUUCUGAAUGGAAGGGCCAUCGCUCAACGGAUAAAAGGUACUCCGGGGAUAACAGGCUGAUACCGCCCAAGAGUUCAUAUCGACGGCGGUGUUUGGCACCUCGAUGUCGGCUCAUCACAUCCUGGGGCUGAAGUAGGUCCCAAGGGUAUGGCUGUUCGCCAUUUAAAGUGGUACGCGAGCUGGGUUUAGAACGUCGUGAGACAGUUCGGUCCCUAUCUGCCGUGGGCGCUGGAGAACUGAGGGGGGCUGCUCCUAGUACGAGAGGACCGGAGUGGACGCAUCACUGGUGUUCGGGUUGUCAUGCCAAUGGCACUGCCCGGUAGCUAAAUGCGGAAGAGAUAAGUGCUGAAAGCAUCUAAGCACGAAACUUGCCCCGAGAUGAGUUCUCCCUGACCCUUUAAGGGUCCUGAAGGAACGUUGAAGACGACGACGUUGAUAGGCCGGGUGUGUAAGCGCAGCGAUGCGUUGAGCUAACCGGUACUAAUGAACCGUGAGGCUUAACCUU
rnacentral:rRNA from 1 species